GGAGCCUGAGAAACGGCUACCACAUCCAAGGAUGGCAGCAGGCGCGCAAAUUACCCAAUCCUGACACAGGGAGGUAGUGACAAUAAAUAACAAUACAGGACUCUUACGAGUCUUGUAAUUGGAAUGAGUACAAUUUAAAUCUCUUAACGAGGAACAAUUGGAGGGCAAGUCUGGUGCCAGCAGCCGCGGUAAUUCCAGCUCCAAUAGCGUAUAUUAAAGUUGUUGCAGUUAAAAAGCUCGUAGUUGAAUUUCGGGGUUAGUAGGUUGGUCAUGCCUCUGGUAUGUACUGAUCUCACUGAUUCCUCCUUCCUAAUGAACCGUAAUGCCAUUAAUUUGGUGUUGCGGGGAAUUUGGACUGUUACUUUGAAAAAAUUAGAGUGUUUAAAGCAAGCUAACGCUUGAAUACAUUAGCAUGGAAUAAUGAAAUAGGACGUUCGAUCCUAUUUUGUUGGUUUCUAGGAUUGACGUAAUGAUUAAUAGGGAUAGUUGGGGGCAUUAGUAUUCAAUUGUCAGAGGUGAAAUUCUUGGAUUUAUUGAAGACUAACUACUGCGAAAGCAUUUGCCAAGGAUGUUUUCAUUAAUCAAGAACGAAAGUUAGGGGAUCGAAGACGAUCAGAUACCGUCGUAGUCUUAACCAUAAACUAUGCCGACUAGGGAUCGGAUGAUGUUAAUUUUUUAAUGACUCAUUCGGCGCCUUACG
rnacentral:rRNA from 1 species